rnacentral:misc_RNA from 1 species
CACAAAUAUGAAAGCAGACCCUCAUUGGGGCGUAACGUCACGCCCGUGUCCGCACAUAGCGUCAUUGGCUGUCGUGCUGACGCGGCGGGGGGGUAAACGCCCUUUCGGGCCAAGUCUGACUCCAUAUUCACCCAUGGUCUUUUGCGUACUACUUGUUUCCUUGGCGGGUUUCGCCCGCCAAUUGGACCCAAUUAAACCCUUUUUUGUAAUUGCAAUCAGCGUCAGCACAACAAUGUAAUAAAUUA